AGUCGAGGGGCAGCACAGGUAGCAAUACCGGGUGGCGACCGGCGCACGGGUGAGUAACGCGUAUGCAACUUGCCUAUCAGAGGGGGAUAACCCGGCGAAAGUCGGACUAAUACCGCAUGAAGCAGGGGCCCCGCAUGGGGAUAUUUGCUAAAGAUUCAUCGCUGAUAGAUAGGCAUGCGUUCCAUUAGGCAGUUGGCGGGGUAACGGCCCACCAAACCGACGAUGGAUAGGGGUUCUGAGAGGAAGGUCCCCCACAUUGGUACUGAGACACGGACCAAACUCCUACGGGAGGCAGCAGUGAGGAAUAUUGGUCAAUGGCCGAGAGGCUGAACCAGCCAAGUCGCGUGAGGGAUGAAGGUUCUAUGGAUCGUAAACCUCUUUUAUAAGGGAAUAAAGUUCGGGACGUGUCCCGUUUUGUAUGUACCUUAUGAAUAAGGAUCGGCUAACUCCGUGCCAGCAGCCGCGGUAAUACGGAGGAUCCGAGCGUUAUCCGGAUUUAUUGGGUUUAAA
rnacentral:rRNA from 1 species